UCGAGCGGUAACAGGUCCUUCGGGAUGCUGACGAGCGGCGGACGGGUGAGUAAUGCAUAGGAAUCUACCCGGUAGUGGGGGAUAACCUGGGGAAACCCAGGCUAAUACCGCAUACGUCCUACGGGAGAAAGGGGGCUUUGGCUCCCGCUAUCGGAUGAGCCUAUGCCGGAUUAGCUGGUUGGUGAGGUAACGGCUCACCAAGGCGACGAUCCGUAGCUGGUCUGAGAGGAUGAUCAGCCACAUCGGGACUGAGACACGGCCCGAACUCCUACGGGAGGCAGCAGUGGGGAAUAUUGGACAAUGGGGGCAACCCUGAUCCAGCCAUGCCGCGUGUGUGAAGAAGGCCCUCGGGUUGUAAAGCACUUUCAGCGAGGAAGAACGCCUGGUGGUUAAUACCCGCCAGGAAAGACAUCACUCGCAGAAGAAGCACCGGCUAACUCCGUGCCAGCAGCCGCGGUAAUACGGAGGGUGCAAGCGUUAAUCGGAAUUACUGGGCGUAAAGCGCGCGUAGGUGGCUUGAUAAGCCGGUUGUGAAAGCCCCGGGCUCAACCUGGGAACGGCAUCCGGAACUAUCAGGCUAGAGUGCAGGAGAGGAAGGUAGAAUUCCCGGUGUAGCGGUGAAAUGCGUAGAGAUCGGGAGGAAUACCAGUGGCGAAGGCGGCCUUUCUGGACUGACACUGAC
rnacentral:rRNA from 1 species